rnacentral:rRNA from 1 species
UACGUAGGUGGCAAGCGUUACUCGGAAUCACUAGGCGUAAAGCGCAGGUAGGCGGUUCGGUAAGUCUCUUGUGAAAGCUCCCGGCUCAACUGGGAGAGGUCAAGGGAAACUGCCGGGCUAGAGUGCGGCAGAGGAAGCUGGAAUUCCCGGUGUAGCGGUGAAAUGCGUAGAGAUCGGGAGGAAUACCUAUGGCGAAAGCAGGCUUCUGGGCCGUCACUGACACUGAGGAGCGAAAGCCAGGGGAGCAAACGGG